rnacentral:rRNA from 1 species
ACGCUCGACACCUACGGGAGGCNGCAGUAGGGAAUCUUCCACAAUGGACGCAAGUCUGAUGGAGCAACGCCGCGUGAGUGAAGAAGGUCUUCGGAUCGUAAAACUCUGUUGUUAGAGAAGAACACGAGUGAGAGUAACUGUUCAUUCGAUGACGGUAUCUAACCAGCAAGUCACGGCUAACUACGUGCCAGCAGCAGCGGUAAUCUGAGCGGGCUGGCAAGGC